GUAGUCCACGCCGUAAACGAUGGGCACUAGGUGCCUGGGGGAGCGACCCCCUGGGUGCCGGCGCUAACGCAUUAAGUGCCCCGCCUGGGGAGUACGGCCGCAAGGCUGAAACUCAAAGGAAUUGACGGGGGCCCGCACAAGCGGUGGAGCAUGUGGUUUAAUUCGACGCAACGCGAAGAACCUUACCUAGGCUUGACAUGCACGGGAAAGCCGUGAGAAACCACGGCCCCUCUUCGGAGUCCGUGCACAGGUGCUGCAUGGCUGUCGUCAGCUCGUGUCGUGAGAUGUUGGGUUAAGUCCCGCAACGAGCGCAACCCCCGCUUCCAGUUGCUAACAGGUUACGCUGAGGACUCUGGGAGGACUGCCGGUGCCAAACCGGA
rnacentral:rRNA from 1 species